rnacentral:tRNA from 1 species
GGCCGGUCGCGGCGAGGGACUUCGGACCGUUGGAGCCGGUCCAGAUCGGUGGUGCGGGCACGGGCGCCGGUUCGAUGCCGUCGACCCGGUA